rnacentral:Y_RNA from 1 species
AGUUGGUCCGACGGUUGUGGGUUAUUGUUAAACUGAUUAACAUUGUCUUCCCCCACACCCAAAUUUGACUAACUGUGU